rnacentral:tRNA from 1 species
GGAAGAGACGCGUCCCCGGUGGGGCGGCUGGUCUUCAAAACCAGAUGGGGCCGCCAGCGGUCCCGGGCAGGUUCGACUCCUGUUCUCUUCCGCCA